rnacentral:lncRNA from 1 species
GUGGAGGGGACUGGUAGGGAAAUAGCGGCUUUGUUCCAAAGCAGAUCACUGUGCACCUGAACUAGAAAUGGGGGAAAAGUGGAGGGGACAGUAUUUGUUUUUAGCGACGUCGUAAAGACUCAGAUUGCCCAAUGUAUUGGAGGCCAAAGGGAGAGGAGAGAAAGCGCCUCUUUGGCCUAUCUCUCUUCUCAUUUGUCUCCUGCAUCUUCAUUAGACCCCCGCUCCACUGCAAGUCAGGCUGUGGGCUUCUUCUUCUUCCCAAAUAACAGGGUUCUGAGGAUGAGUCUGAACAGUCCAGUAAUGAACUCUUAGCUUUAAUGCCUGGACACCCCGCCGCUGUCCAUGCUGGCUUAGUAACCUUCUUUUCAGAGCCUCCUCAUGACCAAGAGCACAGGAAAGCUUUCAGGCCAUUUUGAGCUCCCCUAAUGGAGCUGCUAAUGCUUCAUUUGUGGCUUAGGAGUCCAAAGCAAACAGCUGAGCACAUCAGCCCACAGGUGGGGCUGUUCCGAAGCCCAUGCUUGUGGAGGUGGCACAGCUGUGAGAGUGUUGACCUUGGAGAUUUGGCCCCAGAAGGGGAAGCUGAGUGCCAGGAGUCAUUUGAAAGGCAUUUCCCUUUAGUAAAGGAUUCUAGUUUACAAAGUUGACCACUUGAAAACCUGGAAAGACUUGUAUGAAGUGAUGCAAAGUGAAGUGAGCAGAACCAGGAGAACAUUGUACACAGCAACAGCAAUAAAGUGCGAUGGUUGACUGUGUAUGACUUGACU